rnacentral:tRNA from 1 species
GUCGGAGUGGCUGAGUGGUCAAAGGCUCCAAACUCAAGUGUUCUUCUGGAUGCUCUAGUUCACGAUGUGAGUGUGGAUUCUAAUCCCACCUCCGAAA